GACGAACGCUGGCGGCGUGCUUAACACAUGCAAGUCGAACGGAAAGGCCCUGCUUUUGUGGGGUGCUCGAGUGGCGAACGGGUGAGUAACACGUGAGUAACCUGCCCUUGACUUUGGGAUAACUUCAGGAAACUGGGGCUAAUACCGGAUAGGAGCUCCUGCUGCAUGGUGGGGGUUGGAAAGUUUCGGCGGUUGGGGAUGGACUGGCGGCUUAUCAGCUUGUUGGUGGGGUAGUGGCUUACCAAGGCUUUGACGGGUAGCCGGCCUGAUAGGGUGACCGGCCACAUUGGGACUGAGAUACGGCCCAGACUCCUACGGGAGGCAGCAGUGGGGAAUAUUGCACAAUGGGCUGAAGCCUGAUGCAGCAACGCCGCGUGCGGGAUGACGGCCUUCGGGUUGUAAACCGCUUUCGCCUGUGACGAAGCGUGAGUGACGGUAAUGGGUAAAGAAGCACCGGCUAACUACGUG
rnacentral:rRNA from 1 species